CGAGAUCCUUGGAUCUAGUGGCGCACGGGUGAGUAACAUGUGGGAAUCUACCUGAAGGUUCGGAAUAACUGCGGGAAACUGUAGCUAAUACCGGAUGUGUCUGUAAAGAGAAAGAUUUAUCGCCUUCAGAUGAGCCCGCACUAGAUUAGCUAGUUGGUGAGGUAACUGCUCCACCAAGGCUACGAUCUAUAGCUGAUUUGAGAGGAUGAUCAGCCACACUGGGACUGAGACACGGCCCAGACUCCUACGGGAGGCAGCAGUAGGGAAUAUUGGACGAUGGGGGAAACCCUGAUCCAGCAAUGCCGCGUGAGUGAAGAAGGCCUUCGGGUUGUAAAGCUCUUUCAUCAAUGAUGAUAAUGACAUUAGUUGAAGAAGAAGCCCCGGCUAACUUCGUGCCAGCAGCCGCGGUAAUACGAAGGGGGCUAGCGUUGUUCGGAAUCACUGGGCGUAAAGCGUAUGUAGGCGGAUCAAAAAGUUAGAUGUGAAAUCCCUGGGCUCAACCCAGGAACUGCAUUUAAAACUAGUGAUCUAGAAUUUGGUAGGGGCCAGUAGAAUUUCCAGUGUAGAGGUGAAAUUCGUAGAUAUUGGAAAGAAUACCAGUGGCGAAGGCGACUGGCUGGGCCAUUUUUGACGCUGAGAUACGAAAGCGUGGGUAGCAAACAGGAUUAGAUACCCUGGUAGUCCACGCAGUAAACGAUGAGUGCUAGUCGCUGGGACAAUAGUUUCAGUGUCGAAGCUAACGCAUUAAGCACUCCGCCUGGGAAGUACGGUCGCAAGAUUAAAACUCAAAUAAAUUGACGGGGGCCCGCACAAGCGGUGGAGCAUGUGGUUU
rnacentral:rRNA from 1 species